CCUACGGGAGGCUGCAGUGGGGAAUAUUGGACAAUGGGGGGAACCCUGAUCCAGCCAUGCCGCGUGUGUGAAGAAGGCCCUCGGGUUGUAAAGCACUUUCAGUGAGGAAGAACGCCUGGUGGUUAAUACCCAUCAGGAAAGACAUCACUCACAGAAGAAGCACCGGCUAACUCCGUGCCAGCAGCCUCGGUAAUACGGAGGGUGCGAGCGUUAAUCGGAAUUACUGGGCGUAAAGCGCGCGUAGGUGGCUUGAUAAGCCGGUUGUGAAAGCCCCGGGCUCAACCUGGGAACGGCAUCCGGAACUGUCAAGCUAGAGUGCAGGAGAGGAAGGUAGAAUUCCCGGUGUAGCGGUGAAAUGCGUAGAGAUCGGGAGGAAUACCAGUGGCGAAGGCGGCCUUCUGGACUGACACUGACACUGAGGUGCGAAAGCGUGGGUAGCAAACAGGAUUAGAUACCCGUGUAGUC
rnacentral:rRNA from 1 species